UUGCAAUGAUGACCAUCUUAGGACACCUUUGGAGUUGAUAAUGAAAACAAACCAUAUAAAUAUCUGAGCAUC